UCUCUGUAUUAUGGAUUAUUGUUAUUUUUUUUUCUUGCAGAUAUAUUCCAUCUAAUUUAUUGUUAAGCAUUCAAGAGAUUGACAGUAAUCAAAUUGGAAAAUUUAGCUUUCAUACAAGAGAUGGUGUUAUUCAGCUUUUGUCCCCAUCUGGAGUGGAGAACAUGCAGAUCACCCUUGCCUGUCAAGUCACUCAAAAAAAUGCUCUUAUUGUUGCUGUUCAGCAAGCCUCAUUUUGUCACAUAAUCCAGCCUACACGUACAGUGGACAUGAAGGAAGCAAAUUUAAGUUUGAAGAGUCAAAGCAGCUCAGCAAGUGGAAGAAAUUCAAGAUCUGGAAAUGAAACAGAAAAACAGACGCUGACGGCUGCACCAGCAACUUCGUAUUCUACAGGGCACCCUUUAGAUGGACACUGGACCAUUAAAAGGCCUCCAGAAGCUUUUGUAUCCAUUCAGUUGGAGAAACUGGGGCCACGGGACAUGAUGCUGAACACGUUCAUUCAUAAGAAAGAAAUCAUGGGCAGCAGAAUGCAGAACCCUAAUGAAAAUGAAAAAAUCAGAAGAGAAGUUAUUGCUGAAUACUGUCAUAGAUUGAGCCAUCGUAUGUCACUGCAUGCCCUGCGAGGCCAGAUCAUGGCAUACUACAAUAGUCUGAAAAUCCUGCUAGAAGAUUUCCCUGUCAUCAGAGACAAAUACUUCAUGAUUGGGCUAUCUCAAGAAAAAAAGGGGAACAGAGACUCA
rnacentral:lncRNA from 1 species